CGCAAGCCUGACGGAGCAAGACCGCGUGGGGGAGGAAGGCUCUUGGGUUGUAAACCCCUUUUCUCAGGGAAGAACAAAUGACGGUACCUGAGGAAUCAGCCUCGGCUAACUCCGUGCCAGCAGCCGCGGUAAUACGGAGGAGGCAAGCGUUAUCCGGAAUGAUUGGGCGUAAAGCGUCCGCAGGUGGCAAUGUAAGUCUGCUGUCAAAACCCAGGGCUCAACUCUGGUCAGGCAGUGGAAACUACAUAGCUAGAGUGCCGUAGGGGUAGAGGGAAUUCCCGGUGUAGCGGUGAAAUGCGUAGAGAUCGGGAAGAACAUCGGUGGCGAAAGCGCUCUACUGGACGGCAACUGACACUCAGGGACGAAAGCUAGGGGAGCG
rnacentral:rRNA from 1 species